GACAACGAAGCGGUUUUAUCGGGCUGCUAUUCGGCUGGCCUGUUUUAUACUAUGAAAGAUGUCUCGGAGCCUUAUGAGGACGAGGAGUCAGAAUCGGAUUCGAAAUCUGACACUAACUCCGACUCCGACACUGCAUCCGAAAGCAAAUUUCAGCCCGUUGAGGACCGUGUAAAUGAUCGUUUGAUUAUUAGAUUAGCAGAAGUACCAGGGACCCUUCCACCUAACGUGGAUACUAUACCUAAACUUGAGUAGGUCAUCGGCUCCUUCUCCAAAUCGCAUUGUUAUGCCAAGCACAGCAUUCGAGACCUCUUUCAACGUCAUCUGUUGGGCCCAGCCGAAUAAGCAAGAUUGAUUUUGAAAUUCCACAACCUGAGAAAUGUCCUGAAAUAGUUUUACCCAAAGGCCGACCGGAUAGUGAUCGAGGUUGAUGACACACCAGUUGUUUCGGAUGACAGUUCCGGCAUCUCGGAUCUUCAGCCCAUCUACAUAACCGAAGGACUCACUCUAACUGUCCCUAAUAAACAGAAAACAUCUGUGACUACUCAUAUUCCGCGCCAGCGGCCGUCGCCGAAAAUGAAGAAGGGUUCAACAAAUGUUCAGCGGUCUCGCAAGAAAAUCUACAUCUCGAUUGCCGUUAUAGUGGUUGUCAUUAUAGCUAUAAUGUUAUUUCUUCUAAUCAGAAACAAGCUGAUGGCAAAAAGUUUGACAACUCCAGGCUAGGAAACCUCGGCCUACAGAACACGUAGGUGCUCGUAAGAACGGACGACGACAAUGGCACGUUGAUUAUGACCCACAAUGUUUCCAUAAUCAGUAAUGAACUUAAGAAGAAAAACGUGAAAAAUACGGUACGAGUACACUGAGAAUGGGUCGGUUCCUUAAAAAUAUGCAGAACAAAAGGAUGCGAUGGAUCUCGUGAUAUUCGUGUUUUAUGCUACAUCAAAGGUUUCAACAAUUCUGUUCUGUGUCCAGACGUACUCCCCAAAGCAAAUUCUGCCAAUCAUUCAGUAUGAUUUCGGCACUAGGAAGACCGAAGUAAUUCUCACGGUGUCCGAUUCUGACCCAUUAGGACAAAAGUGCAUCGUGGUGACUUGGCAUAAAAAUGAUCGUAGUGGAAAUUUUCCGUUUAGCAUUUUAUUCUUCCGACCCUUUGCCUACCUAUCAUUACCGGUACACGGAGUAGAUCACGCGAUAAUUUUUAAAUUCGAUUUGUAAUUGUCUAAUUAAUAGUUAUAAAAAAAAUAAACGACUUGUCUGUGACUUAUCCCAAAUCGGUUACACAACUACGUAGAGAUAUGGAUAUAGAUAUGAUAGGCUCGAUAAUUAUUCUAAAAUUGUCUAAGAGGCAUCUACAAUUGGUAUAUUUUUAUAAGCUUACCAAUCUUAAGAUAAGCUCAAGAUAUGCAGAUCUGUACGCGAGUCAAAUACGGCCGCCAUGAGAAAACGGUUCGUCUAUUGCCCACUGUACAUCCUGUGAUUCACUAUAGCAGCGAAGACCGCCGGGUGUCGACUACCGUCAGAAAAUACAUAUAAUAAUCACUGCGCACAAUUUCACUUGGGGGUUCGGCCAGAUCCAUGUGUGAAAUGCAAAACUUCCUUUGUUAGCUAGCGGUAUGGCAGUUCGCAUAAUUAUUUCGGCCAAAAUGAACUAAACUAUGAACGAAAGACGUAGCCACAGAACCUCAACGCUCGAACAUUAAUAUCUGCCCAUAAAAUAUAGGAAUAAGACGCCACCAAAGAACGAUUACGGCAAUCGUUUAUUUAUCGACCGCUUGUCAUUGAGCAAAGGGAGUGCUGGAGGAUACAGGGCACAAGCAUGGGCUUGAUAAACGAGACUGCCUCAUCUAGCUAUAAGCCCGAAAAGGCCCACUCUUUACGACAAUGCCUCGUUCCGGUCCGCCCGGCCGAUCAGAACAAAAGGUUUUUGAUCUCGGAUCACGGAUGCCUGAAGUUUUAACUUCCAACUCAAAAAAAAGCCUCUUGAGUGCCUGUCAGCACCAGAUUUCUACUCAGUAACAUUAUAUAUUCACAAUAUUAUUUUGUAUUCAACUCGUAUAUACACUUGACAAAAAUGUAAAGAAAUAAAGAUGGUAACGGUCGGGUCCAGUAAAAAAGAGGAAAAUUCGCUGCGGAUAACGUUCCGAUAUUAAUCACUGCGAGUGGACAACCACUCGCCGUUCAACGGGAUCUAACAUCUUUCAUAAAACAUAUUCAUUAGUCGAAAGUGUAGAACAAACUCUGGGUCGACGCUAUCCGACGCGCGAAAUCAUCCUGCACUUCGAGACAAGACGAAGCUGGAAACAUCUCAAAAUUCGCCCAAGUAAGAACAUCCAGACUCCUGAGCGACAUCUGACUGUCCGCAAGGCACUAUCCUAGAACGCAUCCUAUAUACAAAUUCAUUCAGUUACUUAGGUUCUGAUCGAUAAUUAUGCUCUAAACCUAGGAUAAGAUAAAUUACUUGGUUCUCAUAAUGGAGUACCGCUGAACAUCGCAAAUUAACUUUCCUACAACGAAUCAACAGGUUAAACAUUAUGGUCCCGUUCUUUUCCAUUUACCGUAGUUAUUAGCCCCUCUAAUCAAUGCACCAACACGUACAUCGCUGCUUGCGAAUCUUGUACAAGUCAUAGUGCGGAGUUCCCUUUCGAAUGAAGUUUGGUCACUCAACAAUUCGUAAGCAAAAUUUUAACCCAUGCGAGUAGGGUGGAAGUUGUAUAAUUAUGUCAAAAAAAAAUUUGCUGUUUCAAUAAUAAGUUAUAGUGCUUUGUUCAAUCUGAUACGGUAAGUACGAUCCCUACGAGAAAUCCCUAUAGCCGACCGGAAUCGGUAUGUUGAUAUCAAUGGCUUUUUUUCUUUCUCAGUUCGAUGAAGUCUGGCGUCCGCAAACUUAGCUUCUAGGGCUUACAUUUGAUUUACUGAGGGUUAUGAUAGGGUAAGCAGUACGUGUGGCCGGCUACAACAGAAGCUGCCUGACUCAAGUAGAAAGAUGAUAUUUGUUAAAAAAAACCUAGAUGCUUUCCAGACAGAUUUGUUGUCGGGGCUCUGGACGGAAGGGCCUAUAACACGGACAGCAUAAAUAAUCACUUGCCUUAUGAAUAAAAUCGCUAAGACGGCUUAGUGAGCAACGAGUGACGAGGUAGUACUGCACAGCGCAGCAGCUUUAGAGGAAACCCUCCUGUAUAUCAUGGGCGAUGUUGAUGUUGGCCUAUUCACUGAAUAGUUAGCGCUAUCAUUGAUUCAGGAAAAACAAUAACCUGUAAAACUGUAAGCUUUGUAAUCUGGCUGAAUGUAAAUCUUCGAAAGGCUGGUAUUGUGGUCGAAAGUACGAUGCACGUGGACCUAAUAUCUAGGAAAACUAUUGUGGUUCUGGAAAGCAUGAAAGCUCUAUACAAAACCGUAAGCGAAGGAAAAUAUGCAAGAUUAGAUCUAGAGUAUAGUGAGGCACUCAACGAGGAAUGUGUAUGCGUGUCCACUGAGUGCAGCGGUAACGUGUUCGAGGGUCCGCGCAUUUAGCGAAAACAGGUCAAGUGUUGUAGCUCCGUGGCUACUAUAGGAGAUACACUGAAUCAAGAAGGCUAGGGCAGGGUGUGGUUCUUGUACUGCUGCAGUAAAUAGAUAGUACAGUUGGCAUGGUCUCCACUGUGUAUGAAAUGAAUGCAUAGUGACAAAUGCAGGGAAGUAGCAUGCGGAGCAUGUAAUAGUGCCCAUUGAUGCCAGGAAGGACUCUGUGGUACGACGGAAUCGAUAUGUCUGAAGCAUCGUAAACAUCUGUCAUCUAGAGUCUAGGAUGAAACAAGGGAUACUGUGCCGGAACGCUCACACAUCGAUCACAAACGACAGUCAGAAAUGGUUACGAAUCGUUCUUGCUCAGCGCAUUCCCGAACGUCGAAGGAAAAUAACAAUUCUAAAAAGCAGGCCAUCUUACUUCCCAUGCAGUUAGCUUGUGGUAAUGAAGAUACUGUGCGAAUGCUGCGGAACUACAGUGUAGCCCUGAAAUGGGCCAUCAAUGCUACAUUUUGCCUAGACUAAUACAAAUACGAGAGCUGUCUGAUGAAAGCAAUUACGUUAUUUAUUAAGCAGAUUAUCAUUACAAUCAACCAAUUAUUGUAUGGUUGUGUUGAUAUCUGUAGAUGGUGAUGGCACCGUAUUGAAUGGCUCCUUGAUGGAUUUUGUCAACAACGGUAAGAUAGAUGGAUUAUCUGAAAGGGUCAGUAAACUAAGUUUUAACGGCGAAGAUCGACGAUAAAAAGAAAAAAAAGAAAGCAAAAUUACGAGUCUUCGCUUUUCUAACUGAUGCAUAUAAAGUAGAAAACAAAUAUAAGCCACAUAAAUCGGUGUAUGCUGUUCAGAAUACGUGUUUAUGGCAAACAUAAAUUUAUGCGAUUUCGCCAUCUACACGAAAAAACCCGCUUCGUAUUCCAGCUGGGAUCUGCGCCGGUGGGCCACGGCGCGGCCGGUAAAUUUGCCUGUCUGCUGAGGUCGCCCUUUUACUGUUAGGUCAAGUGUUAUUCUUAAACAAAGAAGGAAAUAUAAGCUUCUUGGUUACCCCCUUUUGCAAGUACCCUAAUUGAUCUACUCAAAUGUAGCACUCAACUGAAACAUCUACCAAUUAUUAAUUAAAAUCAAUGGACUGAUCGUUGAAGAGGUAACUAAGUACCUUCUAGAGACUUCCGUUAAGUGUGGCAUAUUCUAUUAGCAUUAGUACUACUUUAACAUCCGAUAAUAAUUUCGAGUUCAGAGUGUCUCAAAGAAAACAGCUUCACGGCUAUCAUAGCUAACUUGUCCUUGGACGAACAACUUAAACGAUACUUUUUCUAUUUUCUAUUAUUAUUAAUAAAAAAAAAUAAUAAUUUGUUUCGAAUCCAUGGGUAUGAUGGGAAAAGAAGUAUUGUAAUUGUCGAAAGGCUGUCUGCUCAGCUCAAUAAUAAUAAUAUACGUUUAUAAAUAUAUAUCUAUCUCAAUAAUAAAAAAGCGAGUACUUGCAUUUUUACUGUAACAUAAAAGUAAAGUACUGGGAAAAAUAACUACAGACUAUAGGCUAAAUGAAGCAAAGGAUAUCAUCGAAACGAUAGCACUAUGCAACAGAAUUACUUAUGUUUAGAUUCAGAGAUCAUCAAAGGACGACACGGGAAUUUAAAGCACAGAUGGUACUUUAAGCUUGGUAUUGCUAAUUUUCGAAUUAAAAAUCUACCCUGGUAAAAGUAUAUCACACCAGAAAGACGACCUCAUGUCCCACUUUAUGGUGUCGGACUAAGUGGUAACCAAUUGUCCACCGGAGGAAAGUCUUCCAAUCUUCUAGGUUUGCGUUACCUUAGCUUAGAAAAUAACAAAAAAAAAAAAAAAAAAACAUUUCGCGGCCUAACAAA